CCAGACUCCUACGGGAGGCAGCAGUGAGGAAUAUUGGUCAAUGGGCGAGAGCCUGAACCAGCCAAGUCGCGUGAGGGAGUACUGCCCUAUGGGUUGUAAACCUCUUUUGCCGGGGAGCAACGGGGUCCUUGCGAGGGCCCGAUGAGAGUACCCGGAGAAAAAGCAUCGGCUAACUCCGUGCCAGCAGCCGCGGUAAUACGGAGGAUGCGAGCGUUAUCCGGAUUUAUUGGGUUUAAAGGGUGCGCAGGCGGGCUGUUAAGCCGGCGGUAAAAAUUCAGGGCUCAACCCUGUCGAGCCGUCGGAACUGGCAGUCUUGAGUGGGCGAGAAGUAUGCGGAAUGCGUGGUGUAGCGGUGAAAUGCAUAGAUAUCACGCAGAACGCCGAUUGCGAAGGCAGCAUACCGGCGCCCAACUGACGCUGAGGCACGAAAGCGUGGGGAUCGAGCAGGAUUAGAUACCCCGGUAU
rnacentral:rRNA from 1 species